AGAGUUUGAUCCUGGCUCAGGAUGAACGCUAGCGGCAGGCUUAACACAUGCAAGUCGAGGGGCAGCAGGGGUAGCAAUACUCGCUGGCGACCGGCAAACGGGUGCGGAACACGUACAGAACCUACCUCAGUCUGGGGCAUAGCCCGGAGAAAUCCGGAUUAACUCCCCAUAACAUAUAAGAGUGGCAUCACUUUAAUAUUAAAAAUUUAUUGGACUGAGAUGGCUGUGCGUCCCAUUAGCUAGUUGGUAGGGUAACGGCCUACCAAGGCGACGAUGGGUAGCUGGUGUGAGAGCACGACCAGCCACACGGGCACUGAGACACGGGCCCGACUCCUACGGGAGGCAGCAGUGAGGAAUAUUGGUCAAUGGGCGCAAGCCUGAACCAGCCAUGCCGCGUGAAGGAUGAAGGCCUUCUGGGUUGUAAACUUCUUUUAUGUGGGAAGAAAACUGAGGUUUCUACUUCAGCCGACGGUACCAUAGGAAUAAGCACCGGCUAACUCCGUGCCAGCAGCCGCGGUAAUACGGAGGGUGCAAGCGUUAUCCGGAUUUACUGGGUUUAAAGGGUGUGUAGGCGGGCUUUUAAGUCAGUGGUGAAAUCUCCGGGCUCAACCCGGAAACUGCCAUUGAUACUAUUAGUCUUGAAUUCUGUUGAGGUGGGCGGAAUAAGUCAUGUAGCGGUGAAAUGCAUAGAUAUGACUUAGAACACCAAUUGCGAAGGCAGCUCGCUAAACAGAUAUUGACGCUGAGGCACGAAAGCGUGGGGAUCAAACAGGAUUAGAUACCCUGGUAGUCCACGCCCUAAACGAUGAUUACUCGACAUACGCGAUACACAGUGUGUGUCUGAGCGAAAGCAUUAAGUAAUCCACCUGUGAAGUACGACCGCAAGGUUGAAACUCAAAGGAAUUGACGGGGGUCCGCACAAGCGGUGGAGCAUGGUGGUUUAAUUCGAUGAUUACG
rnacentral:rRNA from 1 species